UGGAGCUACUUCACGGAGUGCUAAAUCCUGCCUCGUACUGUUCUCCGGUGGGUUUCUGCACACAGGCUGUCGGGAGAGUUAUGAAACUAAUGUGUGGGCAUGUUCAAACUUGACUUAAAGGAAUGACAAACCUGCCUAUCUGGAUGUAACUGCCACCCCGUAUGGUAAUUUUUUCUGUUCACUGCUGCACCGUCACAUGAAAUCUUAGAGAAAUAUGAUCAGGGUCUCCUGCACUAUGUUUUUGGUGGUCGUGGAGUUUCUGUGGCUACUGAGAGUUUCCCGAGCAGAUCAUCAGAAGAAAAACAAGGAGCCAAGAAUUGCAAAGAGGCAAGAAGUGACUCAGAUAGACAAUUCUGACAACAUGACGACAGCAAUGCUUCAUCAGAACCCCCGAAGACGGUCCAAUUCUCUCCCAAGAGCAGUUAAUUUCAGUCAAAUGACAUUUUUUAAUUCAGAUAAUAAUGUGAAACAGUCGUGUGAUCUUCUUUUCAUGUAGCCCUACAGCACUACUGUUCAGUUAUUUUUUCCUAUUUUUUUCCAUAUAUCUGAACGCAAUCUUUCUCUCCUGCAAAUUUCAAGAAGUAACAAAGCAAGACAGCCAUUUCUCAACCAACUGAUAUGAGGAUGCUCACAUUGAAAAAAAGCAGUCUGUUCUGCACUUUAGAUCAUGUAUUAGGCUACGUCCACACGGACACGGAUAUUUUUGAAAACUGAGAUUUUCCG